GACGAACGCUGGCGGCGUGCUUAACACAUGCAAGUCGAACGGAAAGGCCCUGCUUUUGUGGGGUGCUCGAGUGGCGAACGGGUGAGUAACACGUGAGUAACCUGCCCUUGACUUUGGGAUAACUUCAGGAAACUGGGGCUAAUACCGGAUAGGAGCUCCUGCUGCAUGGUGGGGGUUGGAAAGUUUCGGCGGUUGGGGAUGGACUCGCGGCUUAUCAGCUUGUUGGUGGGGUAGUGGCUUACCAAGGCUUUGACGGGUAGCCGGCCUGAGAGGGUGACCGGCCAAAUUGGGACUGAGAUACGGGCCAGACUCCUACGGGAGGCAGCAGUGGGGAAUAUUGCACAAUGGGCGGAAGCCUGAUGCAGCAACGCCGCGUGCGGGAUGACGGCCUUCGGGUUGUAAACCGCUUUCGCCUGUGACGAAGCGUGAGUGACGGUAAUGGGUAAAGAAGCACCGGCUAACUAUGUG
rnacentral:rRNA from 1 species